UACGAAGGGGGCUAGCGUUGCUCGGAAUGACUGGGCGUAAAGGGCGCGUAGGCGGUUUGGACAGUCAGAUGUGAAAUUCCUGGGCUCAACCUGGGGGCUGCAUUUGAUACGUUCGGACUAGAGUGGGGAAGAGGGUCGUGGAAUUCCCAGUGUAGAGGUGAAUUCGUAGAUAUUGGGAAGAACACCGGUGGCGAAGGCGGCGACCUGGUCCUUGACUGACGCUGAGGCGCGAAAGCGUGGGGAGCAAACAG
rnacentral:rRNA from 1 species